GAAUGGUGUUCGAGUGUUGAAUUUCCUUGGUGGGGGAAUAGAUGUUUUGCCUUGUGUGAUAGGAAAAUGGGUCCAAAUCCAGAGGAGGGAUGACUAGAGCAGGCUUGUAGAGGAGGAUAUAGGUGGGCCUGUAGGAGAAGCUACAAGUGGGUAAGGUAAGGUAGCAGAGUGUGACUGAUUCUUUCCAUGAUGGAGUUCAUGGAUUGGUGAUGCUUAUGGUGUUAUUUUGGGAUAGUCAUGAUAGUGGUGUAUCUAUGAUGAUGAUCAUGAUAUUGAAGAUGGUCUUGGUUAUGAU
rnacentral:lncRNA from 1 species